rnacentral:rRNA from 1 species
AGAGUUUGAUCCUGGCUCAGAUUGAACGCUGGCGGCAGGCCUAACACAUGCAAGUCGAACGGUAACAGGAAGAAGCUUGCUUCUUUGCUGACGAGUGGCGGACGGGUGAGUAAUGUCUGGGAAACUGCCUGAUGGAGGGGGAUAACUACUGGAAACGGUAGCUAAUACCGCAUAACGUCGCAAGACCAAAGAGGGGGACCUUCGGGCCUCUUGCCAUCGGAUGUGCCCAGAUGGGAUUAGCUAGUAGGUGGGGUAACGGCUCACCUAGGCGACGAUCCCUAGCUGGUCUGAGAGGAUGACCAGCCACACUGGAACUGAGACACGGUCCAGACUCCUACGGGAGGCAGCAGUGGGGAAUAUUGCACAAUGGGCGCAAGCCUGAUGCAGCCAUGCCGCGUGUAUGAAGAAGGCCUUCGGGUUGUAAAGUACUUUCAGCGGGGAGGAAGGGAGUAAAGUUAAUACCUUUGCUCAUUGACGUUACCCGCAGAAGAAGCACCGGCUAACUCCGUGCCAGCAGCCGCGGUAAUACGGAGGGUGCAAGCGUUAAUCGGAAUUACUGGGCGUAAAGCGCACGCAGGCGGUUUGUUAAGUCAGAUGUGAAAUCCCCGGGCUCAACCUGGGAACUGCAUCUGAUACUGGCAAGCUUGAGUCUCGUAGAGGGGGGUAGAAUUCCAGGUGUAGCGGUGAAAUGCGUAGAGAUCUGGAGGAAUACCGGUGGCGAAGGCGGCCCCCUGGACGAAGACUGACGCUCAGGUGCGAAAGCGUGGGGAGCACCACAAAGUUAGAUACCCUGGUAGUCCACGCCGUAAACGAUGUCGACUUGGAGGUUGUGCCCUUGAGGCGUGGCUUCCGGAGCUAACGCGUUAAGUCGACCGCCUGGGGAGUACGGCCGCAAGGUUAAAACUCAAAUGAAUUGACGGGGGCCCGCACAAGCGGUGGAGCAUGUGGUUUAAUUCGAUGCAACGCGAAGAACCUUACCUGGUCUUGACAUCCACGGAAGUUUUCAGAGAUGAGAAUGUGCCUUCGGGAACCGUGAGACAGGUGCUGCAUGGCUGUCGUCAGCUCGUGUUGUGAAAUGUUGGGUUAAGUCCCGCAACGAGCGCAACCCUUAUCCUUUGUUGCCAGCGGUCCGGCCGGGAACUCAAAGGAGACUGCCAGUGAUAAACUGGAGGAAGGUGGGGAUGACGUCAAGUCAUCAUGGCCCUUACGACCAGGGCUACACACGUGCUACAAUGGCGCAUACAAAGAGAAGCGACCUCGCGAGAGCAAGCGGACCUCAUAAAGUGCGUCGUAGUCCGGAUUGGAGUCUGCAACUCGACUCCAUGAAGUCGGAAUCGCUAGUAAUCGUGGAUCAGAAUGCCACGGUGAAUACGUUCCCGGGCCUUGCACACACCGCCCGUCA